UACAGAGGGUGCAAGCGUUGUUCGGAAUUAUUGGGCGUAAAGGGUGCGUAGGCGGUUCCUUAAGUCAGUGGUGAAAUACUUCAGCUCAACUGGAGAGGUGCCAUUGAUACUGGGGAACUUGAGUACUGAUGAGGUAGGCGGAAUGGACGGUGUAGCGGUGAAAUGCAUAGAUAUCGUCAAGAACACCGAUAGCGAAGGCAGCUUACCAAGCUGUAACUGACACUGAGGCACGAAAGUGUGGGGAUCAAACAGG
rnacentral:rRNA from 1 species